UGGCGGACGGGUGAGUAAUGUCUGGGGAUCUGCCCGAUAGAGGGGGAUAACCACUGGAAACGGUGGCUAAUACCGCAUAACGUCGCAAGACCAAAGAGGGGGACCUUCGGGCCUCUCACUAUCGGAUGAACCCAGAUGGGAUUAGCUAGUAGGCGGGGUAAUGGCCCACCUAGGCGACGAUCCCUAGCUGGUCUGAGAGGAUGACCAGCCACACUGGAACUGAGACACGGUCCAGACUCCUACGGGAGGCAGCAGUGGGGAAUAUUGCACAAUGGGCGCAAGCCUGAUGCAGCCAUGCCGCGUGUAUGAAGAAGGCCUUCGGGUUGUAAAGUACUUUCAGCGGGGAGGAAGGCGAUGCGGUUAAUAACCGCGUCGAUUGACGUUACCCGCAGAAGAAGCACCGGCUAACUCCGUGCCAGCAGCCGCGGUAAUACGGAGGGUGCAAGCGCUAAUCGGAAUUACUGGGCGUAAAGCGCACGCAGGCGGUCUGUUAAGUCAGAUGUGAAAUCCCCGGGCUUAACCUGGGAACUGCAUUUGAAACUGGCAGGCUUGAGUCUUGUAGAGGGGGGUAGAAUUCCAGGUGUAGCGGUGAAAUGCGUAGAGAUCUGGAGGAAUACCGGUGGCGAAGGCGGCCCCCUGGACAAAGACUGACGCUCAGGUGCGAAAGCGUGGGGAGCAAACAGGAUUAGAUACCCUGGUAGUCCACGCCGUAAACGAUGUCGACUUGGAGGUUGUUCCCUUGAGGAGUGGCUUCCGGAGCUAACGCGUUAAGUCGACCGCCUGGGGAGUACGGCCGCAAGGUUAAAACUCAAAUGAAUUGAC
rnacentral:rRNA from 1 species